UUUUUGAUUGCCAACAAGGUAGGAUAACUAAUUUGGAGUAGGACUGAAAAAGGAGCCACAAAAUAGCAUUACAAUUCACAAGGAGAUAUAAAUAUGCCCAGAAAUUUGUUCAAAAAACAGGUAGUGCUGGAAAAUCUACAUUGCUGUUAACUGCUACACUUGAUAGCACAAGUUGCAAAAUAACUGAGAUAAAUCGAUUGCCUUGCCAGACUGAAUAUAAGUAACCACUUUAGCCGCGGAUUCUGCCCAAAAAUUUCAUGCUUGUGUCGUCGAUGAACUCAUUUAGACAUUGAUUAUAACCAGAGAGUAGUAGGCACAACACCGUGUGACAGCCUACAUUAACUAGUUUAUCUGGGUCCUUGAGCUCGCUGCACAUCAUAACCACCCCAAGCACCAGGCCCAUGUCCAUACUGAGAAUAACCUUCAGCACCACCCUGCACAGGAUGAGCAGGGUUCAUAGGAUUCAUUCCGUAAUUAGCAGGAUAAUAAUUCCCUGGAUAACCAGAUUCAGGAUUCCCAUAAUUUGCAUUGUACCCUGCACCUGGAUUCGCAACAGCUGCUGCUGCUCGGGCUCUUUUUUCUGCAUUAGCAACCUCAGCUCGAAGUUUUUCAAGUUCUCGAGCCAUAGCUAGCAAUUUUUUCUCCAUAACCUGACCAUAUUCAUAGUUUUCUGCGUAUCCUUUCUUCUCAUUCUCAAUAGCUGCCCUUGCUCGCUGCAGCUCUUGUUUUAGACCUUCACUUUCAGCUUUAAUUGCUGGAGCCUGCUGUAAAUCUGCAGUCAUUCUACUCAAAUCCUGUGUCAUUCUUUGAUACUCAACAGUAAGAUCUUGUCUGGCAGCAGUAAACUCCUUAAUAUCCGAGCGCACUCGCAUAAGCUCUGACCUCAUACCAUCAGCUACUUGGAGAUCCAUUUCCAACUUAGCAGA
rnacentral:misc_RNA from 1 species